CGAAACUGAGUAACUCGAGGAUGGUAGAGGAGAGUGGAAUUCCCGGUGUAGUGGUGAAAUGCGUAGAUAUCGGGAGGAACACCAGUGGCGAAGGCGGCUCUCUGGGCCAUUCCUGACGCUGAGAUGCGAAAGCUAGGGGAGAGAACGGGAUUAGAAACCCCGGUAUUCCUAGCCGUAAACGAUGUCAACUAGGUGUAGGAGGUAUUGACCCCUCUGUGCUGCAGCAAACGCGUUAAGUUGACCGCCUGGGGACUACGGCCGCAAGGCUAAAACUCAAAGGAAUUGACAGGGGCCCGCACAAGCAGCGGAGCGUGUGGUUUAAUUCGAGGCUACGCGAAGAACCUUACCAGGGUUUGACAUGUCGGUAGUAGGGAUCCGAAAGGUGACCGACCCUUCGGGGAGCCGUCACAGGUGCUGCAUGGCUGUCGUCAGCUCGUGCCGUGAGGUGUUAGGUUAAGUCCUGUAACGAGCGCAACCCACGUCGUUAGUUAUACGUGUCUAACGAGACUGCCGGUGAUAAGCCGGAGGAAGGUGUGGAUGACGUCAAGUCAGCAUGGCCUUUAUAUCCUGGGCUACACACACGCUACAAUGGCCGGUACAAUGGGCAGCGAAACCGCGAGGUGGAGCCAAUCCUCUAAAGCCGGUCUCAGUUCGGAUUGUAGGCUGCAACUCGCCUGCAUGAAGUCGGAGUUGCUAGUAAACGCGCGUCAGCAACAGUGCGUUGAAUACGUUCCCGGGUCUUGUACACACCGCCCGUCACGUCAUGGAAGUUGGCAACGCCUGAAGUCGGUGGGCUAACCCUUACGGGAGGCAGCCGCCCAAGGCGGGGUCGGUAACUGGGACGAAGUCGUAACAAGGUAGCC
rnacentral:rRNA from 1 species